UACAGAGGUCCCGAGCGUUGUUCGGAUUCAUUGGGCGUAAAGGGUGCGUAGGUGGCGCUGUAAGUCGGGUGUGAAAUUUCGGAGCUUAACUCCGAAACUGCAUUCGAUACUGCGGUGCUUGAGGACUGGAGAGGAGACUGGAAUUCAUGGUGUAGCAGUGAAAUGCGUAGAGAUCAUGAGGAAGACCAGUGGCGAAGGCGGGUCUCUGGACAGUUCCUGACACUGAGGCACGAAGGCCAGGGGAGCAAACAGG
rnacentral:rRNA from 1 species